rnacentral:rRNA from 1 species
ACGAAGGGGGCUAGCGUUGUUCGGAAUUACUGGGCGUAAAGCGCACGUAGGCGGAUAUUUAAGUCAGGGGUGAAAUCCCGGAGCUCAACUCCGGAACUGCCUUUGAUACUGGAUAUCUAGAGACCGAGAGAGGUAAGUGGAACUCCUAGUGUAGAGGUGGAAUUCGUAGAUAUUAGGAAGAACACCAGUGGCGAAGGCGGCUUACUGGCUCGGAACUGACGCUGAGGUGCGAAAGCGUGGGGAGCAAACAGG